rnacentral:rRNA from 1 species
CCUACGGGGGGCAGCAGUGGGGAAUAUUGCACAAUGGGGGAAACCCUGAUGCAGCAACGCCGCGUGAGCGAAGAAGGCCUUCGGGUCGUAAAGCUCUGUCCUAAGGGAAGAAAAAUGACAGUACCUUAGGAGGAAGCUCCGGCUAACUACGUGCCAGCAGCCGCGGUAAUACGUAGGGGGCGAUGGUUAUCCGGAAUCACUGGUCGUAAAGGGUGCGUAGGUGGCCAAUUAAGCCAGGGGUGAAAGGCUCCGGCUUAACCGUAGUAAGCCUUUGGAACUGAAUGGCUUGUGUGCAGGUGUGGAGAGUGGAAUUCCGAGUGUAGCGGUGAAAUGCGUAGAUAUUAGGAGGAACGCCAGUGGCGAAGGCGACGCGCUGGACUGUAACUGACGCUGAAGCGCGAAAGCGUGGGGAGAAAACAGGAUUAGAUACCCUAGUAGUC